GAUGAACGCUAGCGAUAGGCUUAACACAUGCAAGUCGAGGGGCAGCAUGGUCUUAGCUUGCUAAGACUGAUGGCGACCGGCGCACGGGUGCGUAACGCGUAUGCAACUUGCCUCACAGAGGGGGAUAACCCGUCGAAAGACGGACUAAUACCGCGUACACUCCAUCUUGGGCAUCCAAGGUAGAGGAAAUGAAAUUCGCUGUGAGAUAGGCAUGCGUCCCAUUAGCUAGUUGGUGAGGUAACGGCUCACCAAGGCGACGAUGGGUAGGGGAACUGAGAGGUUGAACCCCCACACUGGUACUGAGACACGGACCAGACUCCUACGGGAGGCAGCAGUGAGGAAUAUUGGUCAAUGGGCGAGAGCCUGAACCAGCCAAGUCGCGUGAAGGAUGACUGUCUUAUGGAUUGUAAACUUCUUUGAGAACGGGAAUAACAAGAUU
rnacentral:rRNA from 1 species